UGGGGAAUAUUGCACAAUGGGGGAAACCCUGAUGCAGCGACGCCGCGUGAACGAAGAAGGUAUUCGUAUCGUAAAGUUCUGUCCUAUGGGAAGAUAAUGACAGUACCAUAGAAGAAAGCUCCGGCUAAAUACGUGCCAGUAGCCGCGGUAAUACGUAUGGAGCGAGCGUUGUCCGGAAUUAUUGGGCGUAAAGGGUACGCAGGCGGUUUAAUAAGUCGAAUGUUAAAGAUCGGGGCUCAACCCCGCAAAGCAUUGGAAACUGAUAAACUUGAGUAGUGGAGAGGAAAGUGGAAUUCCUAGUGUAGUGGUGAAAUACGUAGAUAUUAGGAGGAAUACCAGUAGCGAAGGCGACUUUCUGGACACAAACUGACGCUGAGGUACUAAAGCGUGGGGAGCAAACAGG
rnacentral:rRNA from 1 species